AACAGAGUUUGAUCCUGGCUCAGCCGAAUUCGUCGACAACAGAGUUUGAUCCUGGCUCAGCCGAAUUCGUCGACAACAGAGUUUGAUCCUGGCUCAGGACGAACGCUGGCGGCGUGCCUAAUACAUGCAAGUCGAGCGGACAGAAGGGAGCUUGCUCCCGGAAGUCAGCGGCGGACGGGUGGGUAACACGUGGGCAACCUGCCCUGCAGAUUGGGAUAACUCCGGGAAACCGGGGCUAAUACCGAAUAACAUUGGAAACCUCAUGGUUUCCUUUUAAAAGGCGGCUUCGGCUGUCACUGCAGGAUGGGCCCGCGGCGCAUUAGCUAGUUGGUGAGGUAACGGCUCACCAAGGCAACGAUGCGUAGCCGACCUGAGAGGGUGAUCGGCCACACUGGGACUGAGACACGGCCCAGACUCCUACGGGAGGCAGCAGUAGGGAAUCUUCCGCAAUGGACGAAAGUCUGACGGAGCAACGCCGCGUGAGUGAAGAAGGUUUUCGGAUCGUAAAACUCUGUUGUCAGGGAAGAACAAGUACGGUAGUAACUGCCCGUACCUUGACGGUACCUGGCCAGAAAGCCACGGCUAACUACGUGCCAGCAGCCGCGGUAAUACGUAGGUGGCAAGCGUUGUCCGGAAUUAUUGGGCGUAAAGCGCGCGCAGGCGGCCUUUUAAGUCUGAUGUGAAA
rnacentral:rRNA from 1 species